UACGGAGGGUGCAAGCGUUGUCCGGAAUCACUGGGCGUAAAGGGCGCGUAGGCGGCUCGGUAAGUAGGGGGUGAAAUCCUGCGGCUUAACCGCAGGGCUGCCUUCUAAACUGUCGAGCUUGAGCACGGUAGAGGCAGAUGGAAUUCCCGGUGUAGCGGUGGAAUGCGUAGAGAUCAGGAGGAACACCGGUGGCGAAGGCGGCCCACUGGGCCAGCACUGACGCUGAGGCGCGAAAGCCAGGGGAGCAAACGGG
rnacentral:rRNA from 1 species